UCUGUUUAGUAACGUAGCGUCACGGGACAC
rnacentral:piRNA from 1 species